GGGGUUGUGUCUCAGUGGUAGAGUGCUUGCUUAACAAGUGUGAGGCACUGGGUUUAAUUCCCAGCACCA
rnacentral:tRNA from 1 species